UGGCUAAAAACUAUCAUGCAACAUGAGAAAUCAAGAGUGCUAGAAGAUUGAGAGGUUUAUUACAAUGUUACCUCCCUUUUGCAGACAAUCUCAGCUGGAAAAAUGUGGACAGUUUCCUCCCUCUGCUCCUCAAAGAAUCGCACCAGAUUUCUCUCUUCUUGCUCCCCCCACUGCCUCUAGUUUGCACGCCAAACAGCUGCAGUCCUUCCCCCCUCUCAACUCUCCGUUGGUUGGCGUGGUAAUAGGAAAUGAUUCACUCUUUCUCCCUUACUCUCUCUUGGGUGCAGACUUGGAGCAAUGAAGAACCAGAAAUGUUUCUCACUCGGUGGUGUUUUGGAAUGAAUGGUUAUGACCGAAACUCUCUCUCUCUCUCGGUUCUGUUUCUACUGCUUGGUUGAUAAGAAGAGAAUUCGACUUAUUUCCUUCACUCAGCCGACCACUCAAGCUUCCUCAUUCGGUGCUAAUCAAUCCAAACUCUCAUUCGGUCACUGCCUACUCAACAAUUUUGGUGGCAAGUUCAUCUGGCUGCUGUCCAAAUAACAAUUAUGCACCGCCCAACUAUCACACAAAUUUCACUCCUUUUCUUUUCCACCAUUUAGACAGCAGCUCCUUACGGUUCCAAGCGCUCCACUUAUACGUCUCCCUUUCAGUUUUAUUUUAUGAAGUACCGUUAGCUGGUUUCUUGGCUGCAUGGAAAAUUAACCAAAACUCUAAGGUUGGUUUGGUCUUCUUUUUUUAAUUUUUUGUUCAUUUGUUUGUCAUGAGUCCGUGAUUUUAUUGCCUCAUGCAUUGCCCCAAAAUUUUUCGUUUGUUCUAAUUUGUAUGUACCUUGAGAAAUUUUCCUUAUAUCGAUCCAGUAAAUUUUCACAUAUUUAGGUUUUAAGGAAAAUUAAUUAGGCAUGUAUUUUUUCAACUAUAUAAUGAAUUAAGAAGUCACAAUUUGCAAUAUGUCUAUCAUUUGUUUAUUUGAUUCCUAAAAUUUUCUACACCAUUCUAGGAUAUUUCUAAAUUCUCAAUUUUUAUAUAAAUUCAAUUAGGCAUUUAAUUUAACCAUUUAUUCGUUAUAAUAUUUCUAAUAACAAAGUAAAUAAAACAAAAUAAAUUCAAGGCAUACACAUAACUCUUUUUUUUUUCUUGAGUUCUCACAUCUUAGCUAUGGGGGAGCUAAUAUAGACUUAUUAGAAGGGAAAUUGAUUUUAAGGGUUGGUAAGGAAAAGAAAGAAUUUAAUGCUUUUGAACCCCUAAAUUACCCUUCUUAUGAAUCUUGUUCAUAUCUUAACAUUACUGACGAUUUAUCAGGUGAGAAGUAUGUUACAAAGCAAGGCUUGGAAUUGGUGCUCGGACUAAAUCAUCGCCAGUAUUCCUCUUGGGUGGUUCGAAAGCAAUUUUUUGAUUAUCAAUGUUACGAAAAAUCUCAUGUGCAUGCGCUGAAUGGAGUGGAAUGAUCUGAGCCAUUUCAUCCGCCAUAAUCAUAUCGGUCCCGUCUAGCUGAAGACGUUAAAUUUAGCGUUUCGUGGGAGGCAACCCGACUUCUUUCUAAUUUUAUUUAAUAUUUUCUUUUGUUUGGGAUUAAUGGUGGUGUUUAUUUCCUUACAAUUUUAUUGGUUUCUAGUUUGGAUUAUUUGGUGGUGUAUUUAACUACUAUUUAUAAUAUUUUCUUGUCUUUUUAUAGGUUGGUAGGAUGACUUACUGAGUAUGACCAUUGGAUGGUAACGACAACUUCUCUUACUCUACUUGAUCAUUGGCACUCCAUUGGUUAUUAGGGGAGUUUCACUUUUAGCUCUUUUCAUGUUAUUAUUAUUUUUAUUUUAUCCCCAACAUUGAGGACAAUGUUGUCUCAAGUGUGGGGGAGGAGUAAAUGGGUUUAGGUUAAAAUUUUUCAAAUUUUUGUUGCUAAUUCCCUGAAAGGCAAUGUCUUAUAUUUCGAGUAUUAUUAUUGUUAAAGCAAUAUGUGUAUGAAUGUGUUAAAUGUUAAAUGGUGUUGCUUUAGGGUGCGUCUUUGGUGAAUAUUUGAUAUUUUGAAACUUUUUCAAUUUUUGGCUAAUUUUUCUAGGCAUUGUAAAUAUUUUUCUAACAUUUUUCUAGUGAAUUUGGCCUAAUUAUUAAUUUUAGUUCUACAUAUUAUUGGGAUAUGAAACAGGCUUUUGUGUUCUUAUUUGUACUUAUAUGCUUAUUUUAUUAAUUUAACUGUACUCCGUUGGUUGUCAUUGUCUAGUAACCAGAGGUUUUUACCUAAAAGUGUCAACUAUCACAUCAAAAAGUGACAAUAACUAUGAGUAUGUUAUUCUUAAGUGGUAAAAGCUGAUUAAUCAGGCUCUUUCAUUUAGGAGAUGUUGGAGUUCACGUCAAAAGAGUUGAACGGCUGAGAAUUAAGUAUAUUCCCCUUGUUAAAAUGUGAAAAGCUUAAGUGUGAGGGAAUUUGAAGAAAACAAAGAGAAAAAUAUGAAAAAAAAGAAACAAAAAUAUGUGGAUUAUAAUAAUAGUCUGUAGAUCCAUAUAGUUAUAUGUUUGAGAUUUUGCAUAAUAGUUGGGCCAUCUCUGAGGAAAUGCUUGUUAAAUAUUUAUAUUCCUAAUUUAGUUAGCCGGAGUUGAAAGGGUCGAUGGUGUUAAAUGCUAAUCGAAGAAGUAUCUCUUUGAUUUUUACUAUUAGUACUUAACACUUGUUUAGAAUGGUUGCUCUAAUAAUGAUAACCUUGAUAUAGUCAUUGUUUGUAUUUAAUUGAUUUUGUUUUUGUGCUUGAGAAUAAGCACAGACUAAGUAUGGGGGAGUUUAAUAGGGUGUAUAUUAUAAUGCAUUUAUAGGCAUAAGUUGCUAAUUAACCAUGUUAUGGGAAAUUUAUCUUGAGUAGAAAUUACUUAAUUUUGCUUGUAUAUUAUUCUAAUAGGUCAAGAGCUCAAUUGGAGAGAAAAUGGACUAAAAACAUGGCAUAAAGAAGCAAUGAAAGAGGAUAAAGUCAAGAGAAAGAGGUUUCACAGGAAUGACAUAUUUCAAUAUUUUGGCGAUAACUUGAGCUUCACAAAUCAGAUUGAGAUGUCCUUGAUUCAAUUCAAAGCUCAGAAAAUACUCUACAACUUUUAUGAGAUAUUAAAGUUUGGUUCUCAUAUUUUCAUGGUCAAAAGUUCAAAUUACUGAAGUAUAGUUGCGCUGCAAUGCUCUUACGACCAAGUCUUAGUAUUUUAGGCAUAUCGCAGUGUCCAAACAUCCAAGGAAAGCUUAUUCAAAGGGUUACAAUUUCUUUGUUUUGAGAAAUAACUGAUUCAGCCUAUUUGAUGGACUUUUUGGGAUUCAAAAUCAAUCCACACGUGGAUCCGUAUUGAUCCGCGGAUGGAUCCAUGACAGGCACUGGACAUCACAAAUGACUUCGCGCUGAACAUCUCCAAAUUCUUUUGCAUUCUGAGCUUGGCCCGAUGACCAAUGCCGGUCAUUGGGCCGGUCUUCAUCGGAAAAAUGUGCGGAAAUAGGAUUUUUUGAGUCCAAUAAAGCCUAUUUCUACCAUGUUUAGGAUAUAUCUUCAAGAAACCAUAAAUAGGAGUCAUUUAGGUUGGUUUUUAGGGGGAAAAAAGUAGUCUAAUCUAGUUUUAACAUCUUUUCAUAGUUUGUUCUUGAGACAUCAAGAUCAAAUGGAGGCGAAUCAAAGAGUGUGCAAGGAGAAGAUUGGAGCAAGCAAUUGAGAAAUUUUCUUACUCUUUUUCUUAUCUUUGUAGCAACUCUUUGAAUUCAUGGUUUUAAUUUCCAAAUCUUGUUGAACUAAAUUGUUGCUGGGGUUAGGGUUUUUGUGACGGAAUUUGAUUAAUUUUUCUAGUUUGAUUUCUUGCCUUUUGUUAUGAUUUAUCUAUCUUGAUUUAAUUACGUGUUCAUACUUGACCACCAUAGACAUACUUUUAGGAUUUGUAUUGAAGUGAGAAGGGAUAUACAGCUGUGCACUAGAUAGAUAAAUAUAUUUAGUCUGAUCACGAUAGUAGGUUAGGAUUUUUAUGACGUACUUAUAUCACCAAAAUUCUUAAAGGGUUUAAUUGAAUACUUGUGAUCUCGAGAAAGAUGUAGGAUUUAAUUAGGCACACUUUAGAUGUAUCGAGAGAUAAUCUAAAAUAUAAUUGUGUGAUGCAUCGUUCAUAGUUUGUUAAGAAAUUAACUAAAUAAUUGACUCAAAUUUUGGAUUAAAACCUGAAACCCUAGACUUGGGUCUAUUGUUUUCUCACCACUGCUUUAAUUGAAUUGAUUAGUCUUUGAUUGCUUAGUUAGAAAAUACAACUUCAUGAAUUUAAAUUUUGUUAUUUUAGAAUAAUUAAAGUAGAAAAUUAACUCAUCCCUGUGGGUUCGACCCUGGAAUACUCCAAGUAAUUUAUUUCUACGAUUGAUCCUCUACGCUUAUAGGAAUUCGUUGAUCAUUGGGUAAACUUUCAGUUGUAAUUAAUUGAGGGUUAACUAGGAGAGUUGUAAAACUUCUUGACUCAACUAAAAGCUUUUAGGGUGAAGGAGUGAGCCUUCACUUGUACAAGUUGGUUAGUGUCGCCAUCAAUUAAAGAAGCUACUUAAUUGAUUCAACUCCAAGUUUGGAAGAAAUUUGUGUGUGUGAUUAGUUUGCAAUUCUUUUACUUUAUUGUUCUCUUUUUAUUAUUUGUUUGUGUGGCUUAAUUUGCUUACAUCUCUUAUUAUUGUGUUUGUUUGAGUGCUUGUUUAUUUAAACUAUUUUGGUUGAAUAAUUGAGUGAAAAUGUGGCCUUUACUUGUUUUAAUUUUUAUCAAUCUAAUUUAUCUCCCUCUUAAGUUACUUGGGGUUUACAGAAAGAUAUCCCUUAAAAAAUCAUAUUGUGUUAUAACCUAAAAUUCAUAAUUGCCUUUUGAAAAUGAUUCAUGAUCACAUAACCACUAAUAGCAGAAGCAAAAGUAACUAUAACAUCUUUCUUUUCAUAUUGGUUUGAUUGUGUCUUAAUGUUCAACAGUAUAUUUUUGAUGGUCAUUGUUUUUUAAACUAAACUAGAUUAGCCUUAAAAAGGGAGGGGGAAAGGACGGCGAAUAGUGGGAGCAAGAGUGAGAUGGUCAAAAGAGUGUCAUCUUUUCAAUCUAUCAAAUAGUGGGAAACAUUUGUGGCUUCCCCCAACCACUAUUUGUGGCUUCCCCCUCCCCAUUCCCCUAGAUUAGGCUAAAAUAAGUUAUACAAACUGUUAUCAUUGUUGGGAAAAAAAAAAUAGUGGGAAACAUAGAUGAUGGAUAUCAAGUCCAAGCACUCCACUUGUUGACUAACCAAAGAAAAAUAAGAAUUUAGAUAAGGAGAGUACAUAAUUAACUAUUUAUUUUUUAUUCUCAAUUGCUUUUUAAAACCUAUUUUCAAAAUUUUAGAGACAAAAGGCUAAAAGUCAAAAUGCAAUAAAAUAGGUGCUAUUGGAUUUUUAUUUUGCUUUUGAGAAUAAUAAAAAAACAACUGAAAACAAGCCCUGAUCAUGAAUAAAAAUUCCUGCAAUGUCAUGCUAUUGGAUCAAGGCCAUUAUUUUUUAAUUUUUGAAAGCUACAAGCUAAAUUCUAUUGGAUUUUUGCAGUUUUAUAUUUUCUUUCUUUCUUGUUGCAAAUGCCUAACCUUGGGGAUUUUUCUUUUUUUCUAUUUUGUUUAAAGCCUAAUCACGUAAGCUUUCAAAUAAAUGAUUGGUGGUGACAAAAUGGCAAGACAAAAAAGUGCAAGAAAGCUUUCACUUUGCAUAAUGAUUAAUUGCGUAUGAAAUCAAGCUUUCACUUUGCAAGUUUAUUUAAUGAGGAUAUUGAUAGGUACUUUAAUAAGAUCUCUAACUUUGAAAUGCUUCCUUUUCCUUUUUAUUUUAUGUAAGGUUUGAAGUCUCCCUUAAAUUUCCCAAAAAAAUUGGAAGAAACGCUAAUGAUGAAGUUCCUUAUUGGACUUUCAAACGCUUCUCUUCCCCCUUCUCCUUUUUAAGGUUUGGCGUCUCCCUUGAAAAAGCAAAAAGGAAAAAAAAGAUUAUGAUACAAAGUAUAAAUUAAGAAAAUGAUGCCAAAAAAUGCCCUUUUAUAUUCCAAUUCAGACGGUUUAGAUUCAAAUCUGAUUGUACAUACAAUUUUAUCUGUACUUCUUAUUAUACAAUACAAAAUUGAUAAACAACAUUGAAAUGGCUUUUUUUGAUUCCCAAUUUCCCAUACAUCUGAAACUUUCUCUAGAUUACCCUUCGAUCAUGCAUCUCUUUCCUCAAUCAAUGCCGCCUUCAUUCCUCAUCUUCUUUUACAAUUUCUAUAACCCAAUGCAGAGAUAAAUUUCUGCCUAGUAUUAAAUCAUCUGGUAGUCCCAUCAAGCUUCCAGCUGUUUGACUACAAUUUAUCCUGAUAAAAUUCCCAAGAAAUUGCUAGAAAAAUUCUCAGCAAUCAAGAAUCCAAUCUGCCAGCCGUGAAGGAUGAAAGAAGUCCAGCAGCCUGCGCAGGUAACAUGUCACCAAACCUGCCAACUUGCCCAUCUGUAAGAAUGGAUCCCAGUCUGAGAGUGCUCUCCCCAAAUCUGCUGCCAACCUGCAAUUUGCAUUAAGGAAUGAUUGCUCAGAUAUGAGGAAUAUUUUAACACGGUUUAUCACAAUGAUCUAUUCUACAAUCUGCUCUGCAGACAUAAACAGAUCGAAUCAGUAAAUUGCUCUCUCCAAAAGCAGUAACAGCUUUACAAGCUGAAAACCAGCUCAAGUACUGGUUGAACAAGUGCGCAAAGAUCCAGUUUUCUCAACCACCUAAACAUGGAUACAAUUUAUUCAUUAAAGAAAGGUUUCAGGCCUCAAAAAAAAUAAAUUUCCUGUUAUGUUUGACCUUUAAACUAGCAUUAACUGUCUGGUUUUUGUCCUCUGAAUCUCGAUAAGUAAGCUUUACUGCUGAUUGAACAGCAGAUUUCAAAUUUACUCUCUCUCUCUCUCUACAUUCGAUACUGAAACUAGCACAUGGCAACGCUUUUGGCCUUUCCCUUGAAUCUGGAUGAGGAAGCUUCAGUACUAUUAAAAAAGUUGAUGUCAAAUUUCCACACACAGUAUCUGUCUUGUCAUGUCCAAACACCCUCCACCUCUCUCUCUCUCUCUCUCUCUCUCUUACACAGACCUCUCUCCCCAACUAGUUUGAACACAAACUGAACCAUACGAGGAAAGUAUCACUAGUAGCAUCUUCUGUACACCAGUCAAAAUUACACCCAAAAAUUCAUGUAUUUACGCAGACAACUGGGGAUAUAUAGAGUUUUCAAAUAAAUAGAAGCAAAAAAUUUUCUUCAUAUGUUACCUGGCCCCAAGCAAAGGAAUUUUUGAACAGCAUUAGAUUAAGAAGUUCCUCAAACAUUAUUUUAGUAGAAGAGUUUAAGAUUUUUCCCCUCUCUUCUUAAUGAUAUGACAUCUCUCCAAUUUGAAGGUUGAAUUCCUAGUAUUUGCAUGUAUGUCUACAUGACAAAUUAUGAAGAUGUCUAGUGGAAAGCACUUAUGCUUGCUGAUGUUAACAAGCAAAACAAUUUGUUGAAAAUAAAUAGAACUAAUGUUUUCACAAGAGCAAUGACUAGCUCAAGUGGUAAGAACACACUUCUCACCAACAGAAUGCCAGGGUUUGACUCUCAUCGCAAUGAAUACAACACCAGAUUCCCACUUCCCCUUAGAUUAGAUAAUGAAUGGGAAAUUUUACCUGCAUGAAGGACCUCAAGAAAGGCGCUGCCAUCCCUAAACUUGAGUUAUCAUCAUAAUCAAUGUUCCGUGAGAGCUCAUCAGUUGUAUAGCUGUUCCGAGAACUUCUAGAAGAAACAUCAUCCAUAGAUGUUGAAGCUGAUGGCCUGGCUGGUCCUCUCGAAGACAAUGCUGGAGCACUGAAUAGCCAAAUAUAGAAUUAGCAGCAUUAGUUGAAAAUUAACAUAAACUACAACAAAUAAUAUAAAACCCUUCUUGAAGUAUGCUCAUUUUGCUAAAAUUAACUGCUUUUAAAGCUCAAGUCUAUCCCUUACUAUAAGAAAUUACAUACGCCCACCCAUGAGAGUAUCAAUGACAAGAAAAGUAGGAAAAGAAGAUAACUUUUAAGUGCACAAGUUAGUUAACUGGAAUAACAAUAUCAACCUGAUGGGAAGAUACUUGAAGCGAGGCACAUCAGAGCAUCGCAUGAUAUUUGAUUCAGAAUUACUAGGCAACUUUUGCGCUGUGUCCGUAUACAGUCUAUUAAGUUGGACAAAGAAUCCAAAAAGCACAGCAUGCCUCAAGUAUGAUUGCUUCCCAUUCUCCCGCAGGUAUGGCUCAUAGCUGAAUUAAAUCAAAAUCAUCAGAGAAAAUAGCAAUCAGGAGGAACCUUGUGUUUAUAUAACUUCUGCAACAACAAAACCUCAAGAUGUAAUGUUGAAUCAAGAGAAAUUGACAAGUCUUAGAUUUGAUUGGAUAAGAAUUGACCACAUGUAAACCUCUCAAUAAGUCCCUCAACACCAAGUCCCCAUAUACUGCAAUGCUAAUAAUAUUUUAAUUUUCCUUUCUUGAAACAGAGAACAGCCACAAUCUUCCAAGCAUAUUGAACAAAGUCUACUUGAAGAAGCUUACGUGAGCCAGUCUAUAGGAUCCAGUCUUUGUGAAAGGUGAGAUACCAAGCCAUCAAGACGCUCUCUAAUCACUGACUUGGUUUCAUGGAUGUCCUGCUUGAUUCUGAAUGGAAGCUUUACCUUUGGUACUUUUGAAGGCACAGUAUUAGAACUAACAUCACCGCCAGAUAAAACAUCAGCAACAAAUCUUAAAUCCAACAAGAUUUGCAGAAUUCCCUUUUCAGACACUUGAGAUCCAUGACAUUCAAGGAAAGCUACAUAAAUACCAAUAACCUGCAGACGCAAAUAAAUAAGAUGAAGACACCAUCCCCAAAUAAAUUCCUACUGCAUUGACAAAUGACAUAGAAUAGAAGAGUAUGUCAAGAAUCAAACUUAAUAGGCACACUUAAUCAUGUAUAUGAUUACCAUUAUUAUCUUAAGAGCAGAUUGUGCAUAGGACAAGAGCCAUCUUUAUACACAGAAACAAUGAUAUCAAAUCAGGCAACAGGCUAAAAUUCUUAAUGGGUCCAUGUUGUUCCAUUGAAAUCUGAGACAUCGCAGAACGAAUUUGGCUUGAAAUUGAAGUCUUGUUAGGUUAGUCGAGAGAUGUACAGUCCAUACAUCAUACCUCAAAAUCAAGAUUCCCUAAUAGGAGGUCUUACCAGACCAGUUGAGUGAAUAUAUACUAUAAUUCAAAAAAUAGAGUCAAGAAUGAGAAUUAAGUUAACUGCAUGGAUAUCAGGUUAAGUGGUUUUUCUUUCUUUUCCUACUUUCCAUUUUCUUUCCUAUUACUUAUUUCAAGAUCACCAUCACCAAAACUGGUGCCUAACUGUUCCCAGUCAUUCAAAAUUUUAAUCAGCUCAAUGUGAAGCUUCAGAAACUAAGUUAAUGUUUAUGUAUUAUCAGAGAACAAUACAUAAUAAAUUCCACCUUAUUUUGACAUAAAGUUACCAAACUAUAACACUACAAAUCCUGGUGCUCUCUAUUGGAACAGUAAACGACCUCAUCAAUUCACAUGAAAAAAAUUUUGAAGGAUAAUGAAGGGACAAGAGUUGGGACAAAUUUAUAUACUGACAGGCAUACAUUUAUACAUACAUAGGUAGCUUCCCAUAACAAUUGUGAGAAGAAAACUUUAUAUCUGAACGCAAUUCAAAAUACCAUCAGCAACAAGUACAUGCAGUUCCGUGGACCAAAGUCCCAUUUUGUCAGUGCAAGUUCAAUUAUGAGGUUGAACCACACCAGUAUGUUAAACUAACUAGGUCCAGGAAUAAACUUAAAGAGCAUGUAACAAUUUGCACAUCUUUUUCCCUGACAUAGCCUUGAAUUCUUUGUUAAAUUGAGGGAGAAUGCCCAAGUGUUGUGUGUGUUAUCAACAACUUUUCAUAUUAAGGAUCCACUUUUGCAUGUUAUUGAUAAAAGGAUAAAAACAACUUCUGAAGACCACUUAACCAAAACCCCAAUGGUAUAUAAGUUUUAUCACAAGUUACUUCCAAGUAGGCAUUCUUAAAAAUAAAUGACGGGUAUGUAGACAUCACAUUACAUGCUAUACCUAAUUGAUUAAAGUCGAAAAAAGUUUAUCACACACCUUUUCCAGUAGUCUUGAAGCAAAAUCUUGUAGGAUAGGCUUGUCAAGUACAUGACCACCAACUUGAUGAAUUUCUUCGCACGCUUGAAACAGGAAUGAGUUGAUAUAAAUAGAAGGCAUAGAUGGAAGCAAAAUUUGCAUUUCCGAUUCACCUUCAUUCAGCUGCUCUUGCUUGACUGCAAUCUUCUCCCAUCCCUGACCAAUAAUUAGAAAGAGUUACUAAGGUUCAAUGUCAGAUACAACAAUCUGGCAUAACAUCAUCACAAAGAACAGAUGACGUCCUCCAAAUUAUUAAUGAUUAUAAAAGCAAAUGCAACGCCUAUUACCACGAGUAAAAUAACAGAACAGUGCAAAAGGGAAAGGAGGAUAAAUAACAAAGGUUUCACAAAUUGACUCAGAACCUUAUAAGUCUACCUACCCCGCAGAAAGUCAUAAGCUUCUCAGCAAUCACAUAGGAUAUAUUGUUGACUGCAUCUUCUUGAAGUUUGAAAAAAGUAAGAGUUUAAGGAUAAACAAACAAUGAAUUUUAAUGGAACACAUGAAUACUAACCAUAUUAUAAUAUUUUGCAGAGACUGUGGAGUAAUCAAUCAGGAUAUUGUUACUUAAACUAAAUGCCAAUUGGAUUAUGCUAGUUUUCUAUCAGAAAAGAAACUGCAGCAGCUAUAGCUCCAUGACUCUCCUAACCGAGCAGCAUAAGGAAGCAUCAAAGGUCCACUGAGACAUUAUUAUGACACCAAGAAAUGCUACACUCUAGCCAAUUAUGAACUGAAAAAACGGUAGCCAAAGAGUGAUGGACCAUUGAUAACCUUACUAAUAUGAUUCAAACCCUUUUACUAUCACAAACAAAUGUUUUACAGAAUUAAGUGAAUACAGGUAAAGAAAGACUUUUUCAACAAAUUGAAGGAUCAUCUCUUUCUAAAAAUACAUCCACUAGCAUUGUUAAACAAAGAAACGAGAAGUUUCUAUGACCUCGAGAAAUCAUUGUUAUCUAUUGUUUUUAUGAGUGUCAAUUAGUUGCAUGGUAUAGAAAAUUCUUUCCUUAUGUACCACCUUUUAUGCUAGUUAGUGACACAGAACCCUGCUUCUGCUCCCUGACGCAUUCAAUCCUGUCUUCCAGGUAAAAUAUAAUCGAACCUACUUCUACCAUACAACUGCUAGCACCAAAAAGUGAAAAAAUAAAAAGGAGUUAGAAAGAGAACUACAAGAACAGCAACUCUGUAAUUUGAAGAAUUGUAGUACAAGAUGAAGAAUUUGGAAAGCAAUGCACUAUUCGACAUGCAUGCACUGCACAUUGUCAAAAAUCUCAGCCCAACUAUAAGGUAAGUAUUAGCAUGUUAACAACCAGGAUGCCCUCUUAAGUGAAACAUUCCAAAUAGCACAAGCGAAGAGCAUUUACUAAAAUAAAUGAAAAAACCAGUCAUUGUAUUCUUAUUCACGGUUGAAAGAAUGAAAAAGCAAAAUAAAAGCUGAAUGCUUAACAGCUUAAGUAUUCUUUUCUCACAGAUGACACCAUCAUAGGAGUAUCAUAAAUUGGCAAGGCUCAGAAAGUAGGAUUUGUCAUCAGCUUGAGAUUGGUUAUUUCAUUUCUAGCCUGCAUAUAAGUCUCUAAUAGCAUGCUAUAGUUUCCUAGCCUUGAUAUAAAAGGUGCUUUUUACCUCUUGUCAUAAACUACUUCACCUCUUAUAAGCAGAAUCUCACUGCCAGGACAUAUGGGGCGAGAACAGCAGUAUACUUUUUCCAGUCUAACAAGGCUCGUCCAAAAUCUUUACCACAGAAGUUACUUCAUCCAAGUUGUACCUUUUCUAGUAAUUAUGACUUGUACAUCAGAGCAACCAUUUACCAAUUUCAAAACUACUCAAGUUCGGCCUAACUAUAAUUAGCCAUCAGAGGUAUAAUAAUGAGCUAAAGCAGAAUGAAAGUACUUUACAUAUACAAAUAAUUAUAAUAGAGGAGAUUUGGUGGCAACAUGAUAAAAUGGAGAAGAAAAUAGGAAAAGAAAUAUAAAACAAAAAGUUUGGCAAGUUAAUAGGGACUUAAAUGUCACGGGCAUUGAAGUUAUAACAUCAUAUUUUGAUAGAAAACCAACCAUAUGACCUUGACUGUUAACCAUAGGGUGCACAGUGUCGUUUAAAAAACUAAGAGAGGUACAUCUUCGGUCAUCUAAUAUGGUAAAUAUGCUAUGAGUCAAAAUUAUUUUUCUCCCAUGAAUAAUGGCUGAAAAUAACCUCUUUCCCACUCAUGAAUUCUGUAGGUACAGUAGUCAAAUAACUAAUACAGAGUUGCAAAGUUAAAUAGAGCUGACAAAAGUUUUAUAAAUCAAAAUUUAAACUAACCACUGCAAUCAAAUUUCUAUUGUAUUCAACACAAGACAUGCCCUGAACAAAUUUCCUUGUAUUCCAUUUCUUUUCAAGGCAGAGGUCUCGUGCAUUUUAUUAGCUAAAAAUGUAAGUACCUAACACACCAAUCAUAUGAGGUACGUGUACUAAUUCAGUUGAUAGCUUGACAUAUCUCCUCAUAUUGUAGAUCAAAAUACACACUGUAUAAAGCAAGCAAACACUUUGAAAAGAAUUGAUCACAUUCAAGCAGAAAAAGAAAAGAAAAGAAAUUCUACUGACGAACCAGCACCUAGAGGAUCCCAUUGUCCAACAAAAUGUCGAGCACUUAAAUAAGGCACUGUUCAUAAAUAAACAACAAUUUCUUAAUGAUAUCCAUACUGUAGCAAAACUAAUAUUGCUAUAGUUAAAGAGAAAAGCCACUUACUCUCAAGGGUGCAGCUGCUGAUAAGGCAUCAUCUUUUUCAACAUUCGCUGAGAGAAUUCUUGAUAGUUCAUCAGAGACCCACGAUAUCCAUAUAUUGUGCGCUCUAAUGCAAAGAUCUUGGGUUGUUCUGCUAAGUUCUUCAAGUUUUGGACUUGAAUUGUCAUCUAUUCCAAACAAAGCAGAUGCCGCCAAUGAAGUUUGUCUUUUGGGGGAAUCAAGCAUUUUCUUUCCAGGACUAUCACUCAUAAAGGAGUCAAAAGAUGAUCUAGAAUACCUCAAAGCAGCACGGGACUUGAGCGAGACACCAGCAAAAGUUUCAUUCAACCACGAUCUUGGUGAACCAAGAAUUACGGGCACAUGCCUAGAGUGCUUCUGGAAAGCAAACAAUAGUCGACCAAUAAAUAGAGACCUCUCAACAAUUAUGGCAGCCAGAGGUGUGGAUUCACCUUCCUGAUCCACAUUUUUCAGGUCAGCAUCCAAUAGGUCUAGCUCGCUCUUAAGAUCUCUCAAUAUGGUUGACAUGGUUGCGUAACAUUUAUUCUGCAAAUAUGGGGCCAAAUCCUUCAACCUUACAGGUGCCUUUGGAGACUCGAGGAAAAAGAGGAGGUCCUCAAGGACAAGCUCACAUCGGCUGUCAACGGCAUCUCUGAUUCGGCUAACUUCUGCCCCAAAGUAAGCAUUGAGACAAGUACGAACAUCAUUCUGCUCAGUACACUGUGAUGAACCAACUCUUUUAAUAUUUGGUUCCAUGAACCAAACUCCACCAGCAUUUGGAACUCUAUUCGGGUAAGACUGGAAACCAACAUCACUAGGUGUUUUCACAAUAGUCCGGACUGACUCCACAACAGACACUGCUCCGCUCAACUCCUCAAAUCUGGUAUCAAUAAUUGCUUUCAUCCUCUGAAGAAAAGCAUCUUCAAAUAUGUCGUCCCAGAGAUCAGAGUCAUCACCCAACACAAGUUCACGUGUCCUUUUCCAUGGCAAUUCAAUCUCAGAACCAAAAACACUCUUAAGCCACUCCAAACUCCCCUCCAAGACUUGUUUACUGUCCAUGGUCUCUCUUAUCAACUUCUCAGCCGAAGCAAGCUCUUUCCCACUUGCAAUCACAUCAAUCAAGUACCUCCCAUUGAUGUUGUUCACAAUCUCCUUUCCACAAUUCCUCAACCAAUCAGAACAAGUCCUCGCAAGAAAAUCUCUGUCUAACGUUACCAUGGUAGACUCCAGUUUAUCCCUAAAUGCAGUCCAUAACCUCACUUCCUCGUCAGGAUUUGGAAUCCCCCCAAACAACUGAGAAGCCGGGGGUGAACCCAAAAUAGUCUUAUAAAACAAAGGCAUAUCAUUCAGUACCUGCAAAAACAACUCCCCAACUUGCCCUACACUAACCUGAAUUAUCCUCAACACUUGACAGAACACUGAAAUCACAUCAGAACUAUCAGCAUUAACAUUACUAGAACAAGCACUCAAUUUCUGUAAAAUACAAGACUUUCGUGAAUCCAAAAACAAACUCAGAAUCUGUUUCGGAUCAAGCUCAUCAAUAAUCGCAACAGCAGCAAGAGCAUCAGCAUAAGCAUUGAUCCCAAGCUCAAGAAGAAGGGCUUGAUCCAACAACCUCUCACGACUCCUCUGCGAGAUCUGAGCCUUAAAACUCUCCACUAUCUGCCACUGAUGCUGAAGCAACGGAAAUUUCGACAACACAUUGUAACUACCACCAUUCCUAAUACCGACACUAUCGUUAUUCAUAACAAUUAGGUAAUCAUGAACAUGUUUUGCACGGAUAUAUCUAGCUGAAGCUUCCAUAAACAUAGAUUCAUCAAGACAACCCCAAAUAUUUUCUGGGGUAUCUACAAGAUACUUAACCCGGCAAGCAAUGCCAUAAAUCCGGGCCCUGUUGGAAUUGGCAUUGGAAUUGACUGUCCUAGGACUAUCAAUUGAUGAAGAAAGAUUGCUGACUAUAGAAUGAUGAAUAGCUGAAAUGUUAGUAGAGAUAAACUCACAAGUGGACUUCAUUUGAACAAUGGAAUCGGCUGAAUCUAUAAGAUCUCUGUAUCUAUUGCCCACAAGUUGCCUCAACUCCUCGCUCUUGUCCUCGAUCUCUUUCCUCGUGGUUGCCUCUACUUUUCGGAUGUCUGAGAUGGGCUUCGUUCGAAAUAGCAAUUCUGCAUCUUGGUUUCUGUAACCACCACCACCACCGCCACCGCCGGGGGUGGGAGCGGCGGUGGUGGAAGGGGACUGAGGAGGUGGCGGCGUUACGAUUCUCAUAAUUUUCUAUUUUCACCCUUCUAGGAGUCAAGUGAGGAAUGGUUUGAUUAUAAUUAGACCAAAUUGGAGUUCGAUCGGGUAUCACAGGUACUGUUAGUUUGAGGUGGAAGGAGAAGUACAACAGAAGAAGCUAUUCUAUUUCCGUUGGUUCUGCAACUUGGGACACCAUUUAUUUAAUUAAUUGCAAUUAGGGUCUUGAACCAUUACUAAUUAGCAUUUUGCACCUACACCUAUCAAUAGUGAUUCUUUUUUUUAGUUUUUUUUUU
rnacentral:lncRNA from 1 species